rnacentral:lncRNA from 1 species
GCGGCGGCCGAAGGUGAUGAAUUUUUGGAGGUGGUGGGGGCAUUUUCUUUUUAUUUGGAGGUGGUGGUGAUCAAGGGGGCGACGGUGUUCCUCGAUUCAGAAGUCCUGAUGGUUGAAAUACAGAGUUUUUAUGAUUAUAUGGUAAUGGUGGAUCUUCGUGAUCAUGAGGUGGACUAGGAGGUUCCUCAUUAUCAUAAAUAUUGGCCGCCGCGUUAAUUGCUAGUAAGCCGAAAACCAUGGCAUGCACAAGAUGACACCGAGAUGGUGACGCCAUCCUUUCGAACUCUUCCCAAUAAUCACAUCGCUAAUUAUAUAUCAAAGUAAUUAUAAUCAAGUUUAUACACCUGGAAGUCCAAAUAAUUGAGAUUUUCACGUGGGGAAAGUCUUCAAUGUAUAUAGGUAAACAUUGUCCUGAUAUCUAAAUUCUCUUUUACUGUUUUUCUCCAAAGAAAUUAGACGAGUAAAAAGUUUAACGAUAAGAAUUGUAAAAAAAGAAGUAAUUAUCGUAAUAAAAGACAUUCAUUUAGUAUUAUAAUGCUUUUCAACAAACAUAAUAUUUUCCUCCAUAUUAUCCAUAUAUUAUUACAAUAACUAAUUUUCUAUGAUAUUAUUCUGGCAUGAUUGAUGGAGCACAAUCGACUUUCCUUCAACUGAUUACAUUUUCAAUACAUGCAUUAUAUAAUAUGUAAGUCUCUUCGAAGAAACCCACUGCCAUCAUUAACCAUAUAUAAUCUGAAAAAAAAAACACAAUUAGAGAUUAAAUAUUGGUAAAUUAAAAAAAAAAGAACCAUGUUAUCGAAAUGAACAAUCUAUUACAAAGAAAGUUAAAAGAACUGACCAAUUUUGAUAGAUAUUUUUGAACAAGGUGGAGGUUAAUUAUUGGAUGAAGGAGGUGAUGGAGAUAGAGGAGGCGGGGAUUUAGAUUUAAAGUGAAAGAAGGGAGGAAGUGUAAACCUCGAAGGAGGUGGAAAUUUAAGGAUAUGUGGAGGGGGAGAAGGAGAUGGACGUGGCGGGGAUUUAAAGUAAAAGAAGGGAGGAAGUGUAAACCUCGGAGGAGGUGGAGAUUUGAGGAUAGGUGGAGGGGGAGAAGGAGAUGGAGGUGGCGGCGAUUUAAAGUGAAACAAGGGAGGAAGUGUAAACCUCGGAGGAGGUGGAGAUUUGAGGAAAGGUGGAGGGGGGGAAGGAGAUGGAGGUGGCGGGGAUUUAAAGUGAAAGAAGGGAGGAAGUGUAAACCUCGGAGGAGGUGGAGAUUUGAGGAUAGGUGGAGGGGGUGGAGGAGAAGUAUAAGGAGGUGAUGGAAUGGGUGAAAUUUUUGGAGGGAAUGUCGGGGGAGUAUAAGGAUGUGAUGGAGAUAAAUUGGGAGUUGGGGAUGGGGAUGGUGAUGGGGAUGGAAUGGGUGAAAUUCUUGGAGGGGAUGUCGGGGGAGUAUAAGGAUGUGAUGGAGAUAAAUUGGGAGUUGGGGAUGGGGAUGGUGAAACUUUUGGAGAGGAUGUCGGGGGAGUAUAAGGAUGUGAUGGAGAUAAAUUAGGAGUUGGGGAUGGGGAUGGGGAUGGGGAUGGAAUGGGUGAAAUUCUUGGAGGGGAUGUCGGGGGAGUAUAAGGAUGUGAUGGAGAUAAAUUGGGAGUUGGGGAUGGGGGUGGUGAAACUUUUGGAGAGGAUGUCGGGGGAGUAUAAGGAUGUGAUGGAGAUAAAUUAGGAGUUGGGGAUGGGGAUGGGGAUGGGGAUGGAAUGGGUGAAAUUCUUGGAGGGGAUGUCGGGGGAGUAUAAGGAUGUGAUGGAGAUGAAUUGGGAGUUGGGGAUGGUGAUGGAAAUCGUGAAACUUUUGGAGAGGAUGUCGGUGGAGUAUAAGGAUGUAAUGGAGAUAAAUUGGGAGUUAGGGACAGUGAUGGAAUGGGUGAAAUUCUUGGAGGGGAUGUCGGGGGAGUAUAAGGAUGUGAUGGAGAUAAAUUGGGAGUUGGGGAUGGGGAUGGUGAAACUUUUGGAGAGGAUGUCGGGGGAGUAUAAGGAUGCGAAGGAGAUAAAUUAGGAGUUGGGGAUGGAGAUGGAAUGGGGGGAAUUCUCGGAGGGGAUGCUGGUGAAGUAUAAGGAGGAGAUGGAGAUAAAUUGGAAGCCGGGGAUGGGGAUGGUGGAACUUUUGAAGGGGGUGUAACUGGAGAAAUUUUAGAAGGCAAUGGAGGUAAAAUGGGAGCUGAAGAUGAGGUCGGAGGUGAAGCUGAUGGCAAUGGUGGAGACUUCGCUGGUGGUGGCGGGGGUGGAGACUUUGCUGGUGGUGGAGGUGAUUGUGUUUUCUUCUUUUUUGGAGGUGGUGGGGGCGUUUUCUUCUUAUUUGGAGGUGGUGGUGAUCGAGGCGGCGGCGGCGGUGUUCCUCGAUGAAGAAGUCCUGAUGGCAGAAAUAGAGAGUUUUUAUGAUUAUAUGGUAAUGGUGGGUCUUCGUGAUCAUGAGGUGGCCUAGGAGGUUCCUCAUUAUCAUAAAUAUUGGCCGCCACGUUAAUUGCUAGUAAGCCGA